rnacentral:rRNA from 1 species
UCUACCUAGUAGUACGGAAUAAUUGUUGGAAACGGCAACUAAUACCGUAUACGCCCUACGGGGGAAAAAUUUAUUGCUAUUAGAUGAGCCUAUAUUAGAUUAGCUAGUUGGUGGAGUAAUAGCCUACCAAGGCAAUGAUCUAUAGCUGAUCUGAGAGGAUGAUCAGCCACACUGGAACUGAGAUACGGUCCAGACUCCUACGGGAGGCAGCAGUGGGGAAUAUUGGACAAUGGGCGAAAGCCUGAUCCAGCCAUGUCGCAUGAGUGAAGAAGGCCUUUGGGUUGUAAAGCUCUUUUAGUGAGGAAGAUAAUGACGGUACUCACAGAAGAAGUCCUGGCUAACUCCGUGCCAGCAGCCGCGGUAAUACGGAGAGGGCUAGCGUUAUUCGGAAUUAUUGGGCGUAAAGGGCGCGUAGGCUGGUUAGUAAGUUAAAAGUGAAAUCCCGAGGCUUAACCUUGGAACUACUUUUAAAACUGCUAACCUAGAGAUUGAAAGAGGAUAGAGGAAUUCC